rnacentral:rRNA from 1 species
GAUGAACGCUGGCGGCGUGCCUAAUACAUGCAAGUCGAGCGAAUGGAUUAAGAGCUUGCUCUUAUGAAGUUAGCGGCGGACGGGUGAGUAACACGUGGGUAACCUGCCCAUAAGACUGGGAUAACUCCGGGAAACCGGGGCUAAUACCGGAUAACAUUUUGAACCGCAUGGUUCGAAAUUGAAAGGCGGCUUCGGCUGUCACUUAUGGAUGGACCCGCGUCGCCAUUAGCUAUUUGGUGAGGUAACGGCUCACCAAGGCAACGAUGCGUAGCCGACCUGGGAGGGUGAUCGGCCACACUGGGACUGAUACACGGCCCAGACUCCUACGGGAGGCAGCAGUAGGGAAUCUUCCGCAAUGGACGAAAGUCUGACGGAGCAACGCCGCGUGAGUGAUGAAGGCUUUCGGGUCGUAAAACUCUGUUGUUAGGGAAGAACAAGUGCUAGUUGAAUAAGCUGGCACCUUGACGGUACCUAACCAGAAAGCCACGGCUAACUACGUGCCAGCAGCCGCUGUAA